rnacentral:rRNA from 1 species
CGAAGAUAAGACGGAUUAGCGGCGGACGGGUGAGUAACACGUGAGUAACCUGCCUUUUACACAGGGAUAGCCUCGGGAAACCGGGAUUAAAACCUGAUGAAACUAUCAAAUCACAUGAUUAAGAAAGUUAAAACUCCGGUGGUAAAAGAUGGACUCGCGUCCCAUUAGCUAGUUGGUGAAGGUAACGGCCCACCAAGGCAACGAUGGGUAGCCGGCCUGAGAGGGUGAACGGCCACAUUGGAACUGAGAAACGGUCCAAACUCCUACGGGAGGCAGCAGU